AGUGAACGCUGGCGGUAGGCCUAACACAUGCAAGUCGAACGGCAGCACAGUAAGAGCUUGCUCUUACGGGUGGCGAGUGGCGGACGGGUGAGGAAUACAUCGGAAUCUACUUUUUCGUGGGGGAUAACGUAGGGAAACUUACGCUAAUACCGCAUACGACCUACGGGUGAAAGCAGGGGAUCUUCGGACCUUGCGCGAUUGAAUGAGCCGAUGUCGGAUUAGCUAGUUGGCGGGGUAAAGGCCCACCAAGGCGACGAUCCGUAGCUGGUCUGAGAGGAUGAUCAGCCACACUGGAACUGAGACACGGUCCAGACUCCUACGGGAGGCAGCAGUGGGGAAUAUUGGACAAUGGGCGCAAGCCUGAUCCAGCCAUACCGCGUGGGUGAAGAAGGCCUUCGGGUUGUAAAGCCCAUUUGUUGGGAAAGAAAAGCAGCAGGUUAAUACCCCGCUGUCCUGACGGUACCCAAAGAAUAAGCACCGGCUAACUUCGUG
rnacentral:rRNA from 1 species